CUAGCGGCAGGCUAACACAUGGCAAGUCGAGGGGCGAGCGGGAUGUAGCAAUACAUUGCCGGCGACCGGCGGAUGGGUGCGUAACGCGUAUGCAACCUACCUUAUACAGGGGAAUAACCUUUCGAAAGGGAGACUAACACCCCAUGGUAUUGAUUUAAGGCAUCUUAGAUUAAUUAAAUAUUUAUAGGUAUAAGAUGGGCAUGCGUAUGAUUAGCUAGUUGGAAGGUAACGGCUUACCAAGGCGACGAUCAUUAGGGGUUCUGAGAGGAAGGUCCCCCACACUGGUACUGAGACACGGACCAGACUCCUACGGGAGGCAGCAGUGAGGAAUAUUGGUCAAUGGGCGCAAGCCUGAACCAGCCAUGCCGCGUGCAAGGAAGACGGCCUUAUGGGUUGUAAACUGCUUUUACAUAAGACUAACCGUAUAUUUGCGAAUAUACCUGAAUGUAUUAUGAGAAUAAGGAUCGGCUAACUCCGUGCCAGCCGCCGC
rnacentral:rRNA from 1 species